AUCAUAACUCAAAUAACUUAUGCAACUCAUAGUGUGUCUCAUGAUGAUCCUCUAGUAAAAUUUUAGGUAAGGAGAUACCAUUGGAACAUUGUAUGUGAAUGUGAUCAAAACAAGUAUUGACACAUGUAACGCUGAUAUUAAUUUGAGAAAAUGAAAUAAUUAUGUGUCGGUGUUACAUAAAUUGCAACAACGAACAUCGGACAUUUGAAUGUGACACCUUUAAUGUCUAACAAUGAUAUUAAUUUGAGAAAAUGAAAUAAUUGAAUGUACGCAUGUGUCGGAUUGUUGGGGCUACAGAGAUUACAACACGACCACAAUUGCGGAUUCAUCACUGUAUCAAGGAUUGUAAUGCAACAACUACCAAAAGAAAUUAAAACCUUGAGUGUGAUGAUUGUUUUGGUGAAAUAUUAGGUAAAAAAGGUGAAUCUAUUAUUGUGAGUGAUGAUGGUUUUGGUGAAAUAUUAGGGAAAAAAGGUGAAACUAUAAUUGUGAGUGAUGAUGGUUUUGGUGAAAUAUUAGGGAAAAAAGGUGAAACUGUAAUUGUGAGUGAUGAUGGUUUUGGUGAAAUAAUAUAUAGAUAAAGAGAGAUUUAUAUAAAGUGGAAUUUGACUUACUUCUCAUGAAUACGUUUGAGA
rnacentral:lncRNA from 1 species